GACGAACGCUGGCGGCGUGCUUAACACAUGCAAGUCGAACGGAGUGGCGAACGGGGGAGUAACACGUGGGUGACCUGCCCUGCACUCCGGGAUAAGCCUGGGAAACUGGGUCUAAUACCGGAUAGUGUGGGAUGGGAGCGCGGCCUAUCAGCUUGUUGGUGGGGUAAUGGCCUACGAAGGCGGCGACGGGUAGCCGGCCUGGGAGGGGGGACGGCCACAUUGGGACUGAGGGACGGCCCAGACGCCUACGGGGGGCAGCGGUGGGGAAUAUUGCACAAGGGGCGGAAGCCAGAUGCAGCGACGCCGGGUGGGGAAUGACGGCUUUCUGGUUGUAAACUCCUUUCACCAUCGACGCGGUAGAUGGAGAAGAAGCACCGGCUAACUACGUGCCAGCAGCCGCGGUAAUAC
rnacentral:rRNA from 1 species